rnacentral:lncRNA from 1 species
CACAGCUGCUGCCAUGUUGUCCUUACUCCCCAUAUUCUUCUGAUACCACGCUGUCCCACAACAGCAGCAGGGAGACAGAGGACACCACCAACACAAAGGACUGGAUGCAGCCCGGCCACUCGUGAGAUCCUUUGCUGUUGUUUUCCCCUCUCUGCAGGGAUGUGAACCCAGCCGAGGCAGCGGUGCCUGUCGCCCACGAGCAGGAGGGCUGUGCUGGAGAGGCUGCUCCAGCAGCACAGGCACCUGCACUCACAGGACAGGACACAGCCUUCCUCCCAUGUCCCCCCCCUUCAGCACAACUACAGACAGUUCUUUUAUUCUGAACAAUGCUCAGCUCAACUGUAACCAUAAAUCACUCAGCAGAAGGUCCAGACACAUCAAGGACAUGUCCAGGGCAAGGAAGAAACUUCCUGACAUGGCAGUGAACUACACCUACAUCUUUCUUAUUCCAACCCUGCCUCUGUCUGCU